AUGAUCCACGAGGCCGAAGGUGAAGACGACGAUGUGUGCGGCGACACUGAAGCUCCCCGCUCUGAUCCGGUGGUCGAGGCGAUGAAGAUGACGGCGAUGAUCCUCCUGGACACCGGAGAACGACGAACGGAGGCCGGUGGUCACAGUGGUUUGCGGCGGCGUGCUCCGGUGCGCGUCGGCUUGGCGUGGAGAGAGGAGGAGGCGCGAGGGGGAGUUAACAAGGGUUCGGGGAGGGAGAGAGAGGGAGCAGGGGGCAGCUCUUAUCCACCCGGGGGACCGUGGGAUGGGCGCCACGGCGACAUCGCCAGCCGGGGAGGCAUGGAUGGCCGCCACGCUCUCCUCUGCCUCCUGCUACAGGAGGUUGAAGGAGAGAUGGUGGUGGUGGGCUGGGCCAUGCUAUUCAUCAUGGGCCUAAGUGCACAGUAG
rnacentral:rRNA from 1 species